ensembl:lncRNA
CUUUGUAUAAGAUGGAUGCCUUUAUACUUUUCUUGUUGCCUCCUAAGUGCCAGGCAUAUUUUCUAUUCCAUUCCAGGGGAAAGAAGCAGGAAUAAGGAGAACAAGGAAGAAGCAGAAUAAAGAAAAUCGAUUACGAUAGAGAAAGGCAGCUGAAGAGUUAACAGCAUCCCGUCUGCAGGAUACCUACUGCUACAAAAGAUAACACAGGGCAAACAUAGAGAACAAGCUCUUCAUCUUUUUCACUUAAAUCUGAGCAAAUGCAGCACCAAUGAGAGAAAGCAGAUCUGCAUGCAUCCAUGCGGUCCUCAUCCCCAAACAAGAUGAUGGAGCCCAUGUGGAGCUUUCCUGUGGCUCUAGGGAUAGUUGGUGUUAAUAUGACUCAGUAAUGCAAAGCUGCACAAUGCCACCUGGAAAACUUCAUCCAGUUCUGGACGAAGACAAGGAGAACCCUUUUGAAGCAAAGUAAUCCGUUGCUCGUAAGUAACUGCUCCAAUCAGUGUUCUAACUAGAAGAUAUUUGGUAAGUGCAGAGACCCC